CUGCUGCACAAGAGCGUCUGUACUUCUGCAUAAAUCUACGAAGCUGUCUAUCUUCUUGGAGCAGCCGCAUCUGAUGGAACAUGCCUUUAAUGUCACUCAUGAUGGCAACAAAACGCUCUCUGAAGGGAAGCAACACUCCAAACAAGGUGGAAGGAAGAGUGGGCCCAGGCAGCAGAUACUCAAUAAGGUUAUGGCUUUGAUACGGUGAUGGUCAGCGGCU